rnacentral:rRNA from 1 species
GAUGAACGCUGGCGGCGUGCCUAAUACAUGCAAGUCGAGCGAACAGACGAGGAGCUUGCUCCUCUGACGUUAGCGGCGGACGGGUGAGUAACACGUGGAUAACCUACCUAUAAGACUGGGAUAACUUCGGGAAACCGGAGCUAAUACCGGAUAAUAUAUUGAACCGCAUGGUUCAAUAGUGAAAGACGGUUUUGCUGUCACUUAUAGAUGGAUCCGCGCCGCAUUAGCUAGUUGGUAAGGUAACGGCUUACCAAGGCAACGAUGCAUAGCCGACCUGAGAGGGUGAUCUGCGACACUUGAACUGAAACAAGGUCCAGACUACGACGGGAGGCAGCAGUAGGGAAUCUUCCGCAAUGGGCGAAAGCCUGACGGAGCAACGCCGCGUGAGUGAUUAAGGUCUUCGGAUCGGAAAACUCUGUUAUGAGGGAAGAACAAAUGUGUAAGUAACUAUGCACGUCUUGACGGUACCUAAUCAGAAAGCCACGGCUAACUACGUG